GACGAACGCUGGCGGCGUGCUUAACACAUGCAAGUCGAACGGAAAGGCCCAGCUUUUGUGGGGUGCUCGAGUGGCGAACGGGUGAGUAACACGUGAGUAACCUGCCCUUGACUUUGGGAUAACUUCAGGAAACUGGGGCUAAUACCGGAUAGGAGCUCCUGCUGCAUGGUGGGGGGGGGAAAGUUUCGGCGGUUGGGGGUGGACUCGCGGCUUAUCAGCUUGUUGGUGGGAUAGUGGCAUACCAAGGCUGUGACGGGUGGCCGGCCUGAGAGGGUGACCGGCCACUUUGGCUGUGAGAUACGGCCCACACUCCCACGGGAGGGAGCAGUGGGAAAUAUUGCACAAUGGGCGGACGCCUGCUGCAGCCACGCCGCGUGCGGGAUGACGGCCUUCGUGUUGUACACCGCUUUCUCCUGUCACGACGCGUGAGUGACGGUACUGGGUAAAGAAGCACCGCCUAACUACGU
rnacentral:rRNA from 1 species